rnacentral:rRNA from 1 species
GUUUAUGGCCAUGCUACCCUGAACAAGCUGAUCCCAUCUGAUCUCGGAAGCUAAGCGGGGUCGGGCCUAGUUAGUACUUGGAUGGGAAAUCACCUAGGAAGACCAGGUACUGUAGGUG